CUUCCCUCUUCUAUGCAGAAUGUGCUGGAGAGGGGCAAGCUAAAAAUAAUACCCAAAGGCCGACCCCACACCCUUUAUAUCUGCUCCUGUGGAGUGUUUGGAAGCAGGCAACUUGCUCACUGACAACUGAAGCAAACGGGUUCAAUGAAAUCAGACAUGCUUUAAAUUUAAGUCACUCAGUGCAUAUGUCAGAUGAGAUUACAAAGGUUUACCCAAUUUCUUUUUCAACAGGAAGUUGCCUUUCAAGUUACAUUUCAGUGAUACUGCAGCCAAGUAUUUAUUAAUGCUUUGUCAUUUUGAAAUUUGUCUCUAGUCUAGCCUGUGCAUUUGAGUGUGUUAUCCAUUAACUGUUAGUUCUGAAGCUGUGUGUUUGUUAUCUAUAUAUUGUGGACGAGAGCUCAGAGUUCAGUGUCUUGCUGUGGUUAAAGUGUACCCUGAGCAUACCAGACAGGUUUGGAGCGGUUUUGAAAUUUAGAAAUUGUGCCACCUAAUGCAGCCGAGGCCGCUCAUAGAUCCGAUUCGGUCUAGCUUCAGGCCAAAGCAACCACGGUUCCAACCCCUCCGAGACCGGUCUGACAAAGCUCGCUUUUGAUUGGCCAGAGCUCCCUUGAGGAGACGGACCCAGGAGUUUUCAUUCUGCACAGAGAUGAGUGAGUCUGCCUACCUGCAUGGCCCGGUCGGGGGUGUGCAGGCUUCGGCUGUGGCUGGGUUUCAGCGGUGCCAGUAGGAGCAGCACUGCCAGAACAGCAGAGCACAGCAUCAUGCAGCGGAGACACACGAG